ensembl:snoRNA SNORD15 Small nucleolar RNA SNORD15
CUUCGGUGAUGAUACGAUGACGAGUCAGAAGGGAUGUCCUUGUGUCAUUGCAGCCUGUUCAGUGCCAUGUUCUGUGGUGCUGUGCUAAGGCUGCCUUGGGCAGGAUGUCCUACUCAUUGGAUGAUUUAGAGGCAUUUGUCUGAGAAGG